CAGAAUUCACACACUGAAACAAAAUGGAGGAGGGUAAAUAGAGUGAACUUUGUAGUAAAUAGUGAGUGAUUUCAGACACAGUCUUAGUCUUGCUUCUAUAUCUGGUCUCUUGUGUAUUGUAUCCCACAAUCCUCUGUUUUCCUCCAGGUUCUCAGUGUGAAAGCACAGCCAAGGCCAACAUCGUGCUGUUGGUCUGUGAAUCCAAGAACACCACCUCUGAAGACCAUGAAAACAUUAAGUCCUUUCUAACUCAAGUAGUCAGCAACUUCAACAUCGGCCCUGACAAAGUCCAGAUCGGUCUGGUUCAGUGCAAUGGAUUUUUCUCAGUGACCGACUGGUACCUGAACACUCACCAGACCAAACAAUCCCUGCUGGAGGCCGUAGCCAACCUGCCAAAGAGAGGAGGAGACGACUACUUCAUAGGAGAUGCUCUGUGGGACAUCCGAUAUGUGUUCUUUCGACCCGAUAAGGGAAUGCGUUCAGACUCCCAAAAAA